rnacentral:rRNA from 1 species
UACAGAGGUCUCAAGCGUUGUUCGGAUUCACUGGGCGUAAAGGGUGCGUAGGCGGUCGGGUAAGUCUGACGUGAAAUCUCCAAGCCUAACUUGGAAACUGCGUCGGAUACUCUCCGGCUAGAGGAAUGGAGGGGAGACUGGAAUACUUGGUGUAGCAGUGAAAUGCGUAGAUAUCAAGUGGAACACCAGUGGCGAAGGCGAGUCUCUGGACAUUUCCUGACGCUGAGGCACGAAAGCCGGGGGAGCAAACGGG